GAAAUGAUGUACUGCUCUUGUAAUCAUGGAAAAUACUUGUUGAAACUUCCUCUUUGACUGCUGGAUGAAGAAGGCCCUUUGCAACAGAGCGUGGAACUUUCGCCAACCCACAAUCUGGAGGCUUUGAGGUCAUAAAUGAACGAAACAUCAUUUCCCGCAACCCAUGAAAUGAUGUACUGCUCUUGUAAUCAUUGAAUACUUGUUGAAACUUCCUCUUUGACUGCUGGAUGAAGAAGGCCCUUUGCGACAGAGUGUGGAACUUUCGCCAACCCACAAUCUGGAGGCUUUGAGGUCAUUAAUGAACGACACAUCAUUUCCCGCAACCCAUGAAAUGAUGUACUGCUCUUGUAAUCAUGGAAAAUACUUGUUGAAACUUCCUCUUUGACUGCUGGAUGAAGAAGGCCCUUUGCGACAGAGCGUGGAACUUUCGCCAACCCACAAUCUGGAGGCUUUGAGGUCAUUAAUGAAUGACACAUCAUUUCCCGCAACCCAUGAAAUGAUGUACUGCUCUUGUAAUCAUUGAAUACUUGUUGAAACUUCCUCUUUGACUGCUGGAUGAAGAAGGCCCUUUGCGACAGAGCGUGAAACUUUCGCCAACCCACAAUCUGGAGGCUUUGAGGUCAUUAAUGAACGACACAUCAUUUCCCGCAACCCAUGAAAUGAUGUACUGCUCUUGUAAUCAUUGAAUACUUGUUGAAACUUCCUCUUUGACUCCUGGAUGAAGAAGGCCCUUUGCGACAGAGCGUGGAACUUUCGCCAACCCACAAUCUGGAGGCUUUGAGGUCAUUAAUGAACGAAACAUCAUUU